AAAAGGCAUGCAGNUCGAAACGAACUUAACUCAUUCUUUUAGAUUGAGAGCGGUUAGUGGCGGACUGGUGAGUAACGCGUAAGGAACCUGCCUUUUAGAGGGGAAUAACAAUGAGAAAUCAUUGCUAAUACCGCAUAUGCCAUAAUUAUCACAUGAUAAUAGUGGGAAAGGAGCAAUUCGCUAAAAGAUGGCCUUGCGUCUGAUUAGAUAGUUGGUAAGGUAACGGCUUACCAAGUCGACGAUCAGUAGCCGGACUGAGAGGUUGAACGGCCACAUUGGGACUGAGAUACGGCCCAGACUCCUACGGGAGGCAGCAGUCGGGAAUAUUGCGCAAUGGAGGAAACUCUGACGCAGUGACGCCGCGUAUAGGAAGAAGGUUUUCGGAUUGUAAACUAUUGUCGUUAGGGAAGAGAAAGGACAGUACCUAAGGAGGAAGCUCCGGCUAACUACGUGCCAGCAGCCGCGGUAAUACGCAGGGAGCGAGCGUUAUCCGGAAUUAUUGGGUGUAAAGGGUGCGUAGACGGGAAAGCAAGUUAGUUGUGAAAUCCCUCGGCUUAACUGAGGAACUGCAACUAAAACUACUUUUCUUGAGUGCAGGAGAGGUAAGUGGAAUUCCUAGUGUAGCGGUGAAAUGCGUAGAUAUUAGGAGGAACACCAGUGGCGAAGGCGACUUACUGGACUGUAACUGACGUUGAGGCACGAAAGUGUGGGGAGCAAACAGGAUUAGAUACCCUGGUAGUCCACACCGUA
rnacentral:rRNA from 1 species